rnacentral:lncRNA from 1 species
GAAAUUUCUCAUGUAUUAAAUCAACUUGUUUGUAUUACAAAGGACACGAUACAAAGAUUACAAGAUUUGAAACUAGUACUAAUCCCAUUCUUGACCUUGCAACCAACGUCUCAGCCAUUCUGAAACAUAAUAAUCGAAACAUUGACACAGAAAAUAUCAGAAACAUAAUGAUUGAAACAUUGGCACUAGAAAAAGACACAAUGUGAAACUAUCUAGUAGCACCCCUAUUCUUGACCUUGCAAUCAACAUCUGAACCAUGCAUCAUCCAAUAUUGCAAUCUACAACAGAGAAAUGAAAUAGGUUAAUAUGCAAGAAAAGUUGAAAGGAGGAGCAACAUAGAAAGGUUGAUGGCAAUGUGAUAAUUAAUCUGGCUGCAUCAACCCGAAAUACCAAGAAUUCAUUACCAAAUGUAACAUUGUCAACUUUAGCUUUAUAUUCGGGGUCGCUACUUUGGAUUGAAGUAAUAGCAAUGUUCUUGUUCGGAUUUGUCCAGUGUUACAUUUGUAGCUUACAAUAGUCAUUUUAGCUUACAGUAAACUAACUCAGCUCAUUUCAUUAUUAAGUUUCACCAUGCUAAUAGAAACAGAGUGUUUUAUACGGGUAGGGGAAUGUAAGGCAGACAUACGGUAGUUGAUGAAUUGUUUUACGUAAUCUAGCAGCAAAGAGUCUUAUCUCACAGUAGUAGUACACCUAUUUUCACAUGCAAGAAAAGUGUUCUCUCGCAGGAAUUAGGUGAAAAAAGAGAGAAGCAUGUCCAAGAUAAUAAAAUAUAGUCAAGCAAUGCUAUUAAUACUACAAAAUUUCCAUUCGAUCUGGUGAAGAAUCAUUCAUGCAAUGUAGAACUACUAUCAGAAAAUACCUCCUAGUAAAUCCACCUUGGCACUAGUGGUGUUCUAUGUUUUAGCGCCAACAACAUCAACUUGGAACAAUCGAGUCUCUGUAACCUGCUGAUUUCACAUAUGCAUUAGUAGUCUAUAUGUUUGGUUUUGCCGACAGAAUUGUUCGCAUCAAAAUAGCCGAACACGUGUGACGAAAAAACUUAAGCGUACUCUUUAUUCUUUUAGAUCAAAACUCUUACAUGGCCUUGUUUUUUAUGGAAAAACUCUUGCGCGACCUGGUUCCACGAUAUGACGUGCUACAUGGCUGAAACAAUCUAAACUCUUACAUAGCAUCUAAAACGACUCAAACUCCAGCGACCUUUUCCUGGACUAGUAAGGCAUGCUAACUCCAAGACAAUACUAGUACAAUAUGUAGGCCGCUUGCUAUGCAAACUCAUUGAAUCAUGUAUAGACUACGACCCACCUGAUAACAUAAUCACCUACGACAUGCAAACCAGACAUGUUGGAAAACUAACUAAUCAACCUAUCCAAAUUAGACUCAAACUUGUCUAGUUAAACUAGAAUGGACUCCUACUAAACUACUUAAAAAUUAUUCUAAAAAUUUAAAAGACCACAACAUUCAUGCAGACUAAGUAAUGCCAGCAUAUUAGUAUAUGCCAAAUUCUAUUAAAUAUGAUUUGCUUUCUUAGUUCACUUGUUUAGGGAGAACAUGGAAACUUAGAGCAGUUCCAGUAUGCUCAUCUCUGUCACCAUGGUUGCUGGAUGCAUGCUCAGACUGUUGGCCCGAAUAGGUAGAGGAGAAGGCCAUAAGUAUUACAGAGAAGAGGAGAUCCUAGUAAGAUCCAAUGGUUUGGGAUUUAGUGAAUUCGACGUAGCUGACACACUCGCACAGUCGCCGCAUCUGAUCGCUUAGCUCUUUGUUUAUGGUUGCUAAUAUCAUCCCACCACCGUAGUGUGCCCUAUAUGUCAGGGAAGCAGAAUGCACAAAAGGAAUAAUUUGCAUGUUUACGUUGUUGCAUUAACCAAGUACAUGCUGAUUGUGUUAACAGUUGAAGGAGAAUAUAUUACAAACAAGAUAAGAUGUGAGAGGCACCUGGCCAAGAGUUUGUGUGCUGACCAAUCAUGCAUCCUUCUACUAUUUGGAAACAUCUGUGGCUCCCCACAAAAUACAAAAUCAGUACAGAGAUUGAAGUACAUGUAAUUCCAAAAAAAUGCACUAAACUCGAUUUAGAGGUGAGAUUCCAAGAGUACGAGUCAUAUACAUAUGAUGAGAAUAUCAAGGUAUGGUGUUCUUGUAACUCACCUUCAGAUUUUAUAAAUUAUUUGGAUAACAUGAGUGUAAGAAUUAUUUCCAUCUGAGAUUUUGCAUAAAAUUUGAGAUUGUAGUAUGCCCAUUUUUACUGAAUAAGAAGCUGAAACUAAUGUAACUUUUGGUCAGGGGGAAAAAUAUCAACCAAAAAAAUAGAAUACGAUACAAAUUCAUGUUUUCCUUACAUUAAUAUGAACAACAUGAACUAUCGAAAGGAUCCUCACCAUGCUAUAAACAACUGACUUAAAUAAUUCCCAAGGCUUCUUCUGCAUAUUCAUGGAUUUCUCUUUAUUGCAAUGCACUAGUGUAGUAGAUAAAU